AUUGAACGCUGGCGGCAGGCCUAACACAUGCAAGUAGCACGAGGGGCGGACGGGUGAGUAAUGUAUGGGAAACUGCCUGAGGGGGGGGGAUAACUACUGGACACGGUAGCUAAUAACGCAUACCAUAAGAUGUGCCCAGAUGGGAUUAGCGAGGUGGUGGGGUAAUGGCUCACCAAGGAGAAGAUCCCUACCUGGUCUGAGAGGAUGACCAGCCACACUCGAACUGAGACACGGUCCAGACUCCUACGUGAGGCAGCAGUGGGGAAUAUUGCACAAUGGGCGCAAGCCUGAUCCAGCCAUGCCGCGUGUAUGAAUAAGGCCUUCGGGUUGUAAAGUACUUUAAGCUGGGAGGCGUUACCCGCAGAAUAAGCACCGGCUAACUCCGUGCCAGCAGCCGCGGUAAUAC
rnacentral:rRNA from 1 species